AACGAACGCUGGCGGCAUGCCUAACACAUGCAAGUCGAACGAACAGUUCGGGUCUAGUGGCGCACGGGUGCGUAAGGCGUGGGAACCUGCACUUAGGUUCGGAAUAACUCUCCGAAAGGGGUGCUAAUACCGGAUAAUGUCUUCGGACCAAAGAUUUAUCGCCUUUGGAUGGGCCAGCGUUGGAUUAGCUAGUUGGUAGGGUAAAAGCCUACCAAGGCGACGAUUCAUAGCUGGUUUGAGAGGAUGAUCAGCAACACUGGGACUGAGACACGGCCCAGACUCCUACGGGAGGCAGCAGUGGGGAAUAUUGGACAAUGGGCGAAAGCCUGAUCCAGCAAUGCCGCGUGAGUGAUGAAGUCCUUAGGGUUGUAAAGCUCUUUUACCCGGGAUGAUAAUGACAGUACCGGGAGAAUAAGCUCCGGCUAACUCCGUG
rnacentral:rRNA from 1 species